UCUGACCCCAACAUUCAGUUCUCCACCCCAUUUGAGAAACUCAAUCAUAGAGUAUGAGUCUCAUCUUUGAAGAAAUAACCUUCUGGACACACUGUUCUAAACUUGUGUUAGAAGACCUCACAACUAAGGCCUGAGCGCUCUGAGAACCCUUCUCUCAGUGAAAUGGACUGUGACGAGUGACACACAGGCCCCUCCACUGGGUCACAGCGGCAGAUUGUACACAACCAGAGGU